rnacentral:rRNA from 1 species
AGUGAACGCUGGCGGUAGGCCUAACACAUGCAAGUCGAACGGCAGCACAGUAAGAGCUUGCUCUUACGGGUGGCGAGUGGCGGACGGGUGAGGAAUACAUCGGAAUCUACUUUUUCGUGGGGGAUAACGUAGGGAAACUUACGCUAAUACCGCAUACGACCUACGGGUGAAAGCAGGGGAUCUUCGGACCUUGCGCGAUUGAAUGAGCCGAUGUCGGAUUAGCUAGUUGGCGGGGUAAAGGCCCACCAAGGCGACGAUCCGUAGCUGGUCUGAGAGGAUGAUAACCGACACUGGAACUGAGACACGGACCAGACUCCUACGGGAGGGACCAGUGGGGAAUAUUGGACAAUGGGGGCAAGCCUGACACAGCGAUCCCGCGUGGGUUAAGAAGGCCUUCGGGUUGUAAAGCCCGUUUGUUGGGAAAGAAAAGCAGCCGGCUAAUACCACGCUGUUCUGACGGUACCCAAAGAAUAAGCACCGGCUAACUUCGUG